rnacentral:rRNA from 1 species
AUGGCCUCCUCCUCCCUCCUGCCCCCGCCCACCUUCGCCAACAAGUACCAUGCGCUGCUCCACCCGCACGGCGCCAGGCACCGGCUGACCAGGUGCGGUGCCGCGCCCACCGACGGCGGCGCGGGGGACGAGCUCCUCACCGGCGCGCUGAAUCUGAACCUGGUAAGGCCCGACCCGGUGGUGGCGACCGUGGUCAGCGACACGGGCACCGAUGGCUGGGGUGACCUUUUCACCGAGCUCAAGAGGUCGCUGCAGGCGGACUCGUCCGACCCGGCCGCCAGCGAUUCGUCAUCCAUUGGCGCGGCUGUCCCGGACGGGCUCCUGAGCUCGCCUCUGGCCGGCGAAUCGGCCAAUGCCAACGCGGCCCUCGUCGUCCCGGAAGGGGUCCUGACGAGCUUGCCGGACUCGGCGACGGACGGCGUGGGCGCGGCCGUGGACGCCAUCCCGGACGAGCUCCUCUCCGCGCUGAACCUGGACGCGUCCAGCCCGGCGGUGCGCGUGGCGGACGACGCGCUGUCCCGGAUGGAGGAGCUGACGGCGGGGAUGAACGAGGCGGAGCGGUGGGCGCUGUUCGGGGUGGUGGCGGUGACGUGGCUGUACCUGACGGCGCGGCCCGGGGUGCUGAGCGGCGCGGUGGACACGUACGUGUUGGCGCCGCUGCAGCAGGCGCUGGACACGCUGCUGGGGCGGCGGAGCCUCAAGAUGAGCGACUUCGUGGUGGGCGAGCGCAUCGGGGAGGGGUCGUUCGGGGUGGUAUUCUCCGGCGCCGUGGUGCCCAGGGGCGGCCCCGCCGUCGAGGAGAGGGCCGGCAGGGCCAAGACCAAGCUCCAGCUCGACGACCGGUACAAGGAGAAGGUCAUACUCAAGAAGAUAAAAGUGGGGACGGUUGGAGCCAAGGAGUGCGGCGACUACGAGGAGUGGUUCAACUACCGGGUGGCGAGGGCGGCGCCGGAGUCGUGCGCGGAUUUCAUGGGGAGCUUCGUCGCCGACAAGACCAAGUCGGAGUUCGUCAAGGGCGGCAAGUGGCUCGUCUGGAAGUUUGAGGGCGACCGGACGCUGGGCAACUACGUGACGGACCGGGGCUUCCCGGCGAACCUGGAGCCGCUCAUGUUCGGGCGCGCGCUGCGGGGCGUGGACCCGCUCACCCGCGCCGCGCUGGUGGUGAAGCAGGUGAUGCGGCAGCUCGUCACGUCGCUCCGCCGCAUCCACGACACCGGCAUCGUCCACCGCGACAUCAAGCCCUCCAACCUCGUCGUCACCCGCCGGGGCCAGGUCAAGCUCAUCGACUUCGGCGCCGCCACCGACCUGCGCAUCGGCAAGAACUACUUGCCCGACCGCACCCUGCUCGACCCGGACUACUGCCCGCCCGAGCUCUACGUGCUCCCCGAGGAGACCCCCACGCCGCCCGCCGAGCCCAUCGCCGCCAUCCUCUCCCCGAUCCUCUGGCAGCUCAACAGCCCCGACCUCUUCGACAUGUACUCGGCCGGGAUCGUGCUCAUGCAGAUGGCCACGCCGGCCCUCAGGUCCCCCUCCGGCCUCAAGAACUUCAACUCCGAGCUCAAGGCCGCCGGCUACGACCUCAACAGGUGGCGGGAGACCACGCGCCGGAGACCCGACCUGCAGAUCCUGGACCUCGACUCCGGCAGGGGCUGGGACCUGGCCACCAAGCUCAUCGCGCAGCGGGAGAAGGGACGCCUCUCCGCCGCCGCCGCGCUCCGGCACCCCUAUUUCCUGCUCGGCGGUGAUCGGGCCGCCGCCGUCCUGUCAAAGCUGCAGCUCACCAAAUAA